UAGGGAAUAUUGCACAAUGGGGGAAACCCUGAUGCAGCGACGCCGCGUGAGUGAUGAAGGCCUUCGGGUCGUAAAGCUCUGUCGUAUGGGACUAACAAAAUGACGGUACCAUUCGAGGAAGGACCGGCUAACUUCGUGCCAGCAGCCGCGGUAAUACGAGGGGUCCUAGCGUUGUUCGGAAUCAUUGGGCGUAAAGGGUGUGUAGGUGGCUAAGUAAGUCAGGUGUGAAAGCCCCGGGCUCAACCCGGGAAGUGCAUCUGAUACUGCGUAGCUUGAGUACCGAAGAGGAUAGUGGAAUUCCAGGUGUAGUGGUGAAAUACGUAGAUAUCAAGAGGAACACCUGAGGUGAAGACGGGUUGCUGGGCUGACACUGACGCUGAGGCGCGAAAGCCAGGGGAGCAAACGGGAUUAGAUACCCCAGUAGUCCCUGAGCGGGCUGGCAAGGCGCAU
rnacentral:rRNA from 1 species